GGCCUGUGCGCGGCAGAAACUACAACGACCAGAAGGCCACGGGGACGGCGGCGACCCGCCACCAAUCCCAGCACCGAAGAAGGCUAUAUCCCGCGGCUCCCCGGGCUUCCGGCGCGUCUCCCUAGAGCACGUUCGUCGUGCCCUUGCCCCGCCCUCGGGGAGCUGAGCUCCGGCAGGCACCUCCUUGGGACCCAGCCGGGGGGCGGGAAGGCUGGGAUGAGCUGCCCCGCUCCGUCCUAGCCGUGAUCUCUGGUAACGGGGCUGUCCUCUUCCCUCCGCAUUCGCCCGCCGUCCCCUCUGAGGCCCCGAUUGCGACGGGCGGCGGGCGCCUGCCCGGCGGAGGUGUGGACAUCGGCUGCGCACUCAGGGCCUGCCCGGGUCCCAUGGCGGCGGUGGCGCUGGUGGAUCUGGCGCGGGUGAGUGGGGUCCACAGUAGAAGGGAGUGGGGAGUCGCUGGACCCCUCCUCCGCCUUCACUUCUUUUGCUGCUGCGACCCUCAGAUCACCCCAAGCCUGAGGUCCUGAGUCCCGGCCGUAGUUUCUGUGGGAAUUUUCACGAUUCUGGAAUCCAGUGGGACAAGAUGUGGAAAGCUCUUUCAGGCACAGGGACCGGGAUGUGCAAAUGCUCAGAGAAGAGACUGAGCUGGGAGUAUUCGGGGAACCACAGGCCUCCGUUAUUUAUGUCCGGUGGGCCGGAGUCAGGCCGGAACAUGGCAGCCUGGGGAGCUUGGCCUGAAGAUGGUGGGAGCCACGGAAGGUUUGGAGUAGAGAUGUUCACAGGCUCCCUUUGGCUGCAGAGCGGAAAACAGAGGACUGGGGGACCUUUGAGGACGUGGCCAUAUACUUCUUCCAGGAGGAGUGGGAGCUCCUUGAUGAAACUCAGAGGUGCCUGUACCACAAUAUGAUGCUGGAGACCCUGGUGCUUGUGGCCUCAAUGGGUUGCUGGUGUGGAGUGGAGGAAGCCCCUCUUGAACAGGGUGUUUCUGUAGAAGGAGCAUACCAUUUCAGGACCCCUAAGGCAUAUCCUUCCACCCUGAAGGCCAACAUCUGUGACAUGUGUGGCUUGGUCUCAAAGACAUUACACUUGGCUAAGUGUCAGGGAAAUCACCCUACGCAGAAACCAGACAAGUGUGAGGCAUGUGGGAGAGGCUUCUGGCUCAGAAUAAGCUCUCACCAGUGCCAGCAGGAGCCCAGUAGAGAAAAACGCUUCACAGGCAGCAAACGUGCUAAGGAUGUCCUGGACGGCCUCGACCUCCUGCAGCACCGGGCCACCCACAGCAUGGGGAAGCCACACGGGCACCAGGCACCAGCAGCAGCAGAGAGGCCACACCACACAGAAGUCCUUCAAGUGCAGCAGCUGUGGGAACAGCUUUCUGAAGGCUCUCAUGCUCCUAGACCACCUGCUCACUCAUUCCAGAGAGACCCUGCAGAUGCCCAGCACGGGGAAAUGCCCCUGAAGAGCAUGCCACCACUGUUCGUUACCCGAAAACGCCACUGGAGAGACACCCUGUGUGUGUAAGGAAUGUGGGAAGGCCUUCAGCCACCUUUUGAAACUGAGGACACAUGAGAAAGUUCCUACUGGAAAAGUGUAUCACGGUUGCAGUGAGUGUGGGAUAGCCUUCACCCAGAAGUACACACUCACUCAGCAGUGGAGAGUCCACUGAAGAAUGGCCUUAUGCCUGUGGCCACUGUGGGAAGACCUUCACUUGCAGCUUCAGUGUCGCUCACCAUCAGGAAGUUACGACAAAGAAAGGCCUUGUAAGUGCAGACCGUGCCAGAGAGUCUACAGCUGCAUCACCAGUUUUGUGGAGCACCAGAAAAUACAUACUGGGGCAAGACUUUGUACGUGCAGUGAAUGCGGGAAAGCCUUCAUUAGCAGUUCUCAUCUUCAUUGGCAUCAGAAAGUUCACAACAGGGGCAUCUGGGUGGCUCAGUGGGUUAAAGCUCUGCCUUCAACUCAAGUCAUGAUCCCAGGGUCCUGGGAUCCAGCCUCACAUCAGGCUCUCCACUCAGCAGGGAGCCUGCUUCCCCCUUUCUCUGCCUGCCUCUCUGCCUACUUGUGAUCUCUGUCAAACAGUGUGGGAAAGCCUUCAGCUGGCCCUCUAAUCUUGUUGCACACCAGCGAAUCCAUACUGGAGAAAAGCCUUAUGAGUGUGAAAAAGCCUUCAGCUAUAGCUCCAACCUUGUUACAUACCAGAUAGUUCACACUGGAAAGAGGCCUUACAAGUGCAGCCAACGUGGGAGAGCCUUCAGUACAAGAUCCAACCUCAGUCGGCACCAGAGAGUUCACAUUGAAGAAAAGUCUUAUGCAUGUACUGAGUGUGGAAAAGCUUUCCGCUAUAGGUCAGACCUCUCUCAGCACCGGAAAAGAGCCAUCUGAGUGCAGUGGACAUAGGAAUGCCUUCAGCCAGAGCCCCAGCCUCACUCAGCACCACAAAGUUUAUAACAAAGAAAAGUCUAAGGAGUGUAUCAAAUGUUGAAAACCACUAACUAACUGGGGCAUUUUCUUUGUUCACCUUAAGAGCCCACAUCAGGUUCUCUGCUCAGUGGGGAACCUGCUUCCCCCUCUCUUUCUGCCUGCCUCUCUGCCUACUUGUGAUCUCCAUCUGUCAAAUAAAUAAAAUCCUUUUUUUAAAAAAGA